GCAUAUCAAUAAGCGGAGGAAAAGAAACCAACAGGGAUUGCCCUAGUAACGGCGAGUGAAGCGGCAACAGCUCAAAUUUGAAAUCUGGCCUCGGCCCGAGUUGUAAUUUGCAGAGGAUGCUUUUGGUGCGGUGCCUUCCGAGUUCCCUGGAACGGGACGCCACAGAGGGUGAGAGCCCCGUAUGGUCGGACACCAAUCCUGUGUAAAGCUCCUUCGACGAGUCGAGUAGUUUGGGAAUGCUGCUCUAAAUGGGAGGUAAAUCUCUUCUAAAGCUAAAUACCGGCCAGAGACCGAUAGCGCACAAGUAGAGUGAUCGAAAGAUGAAAAGCACCUUGAAAAGGGGGUUAAACAGUACGUGAAAUUGUUGAAAGGGAAGCACUUGUGACCAGACUUGGGCCGGGCGGCUCAUCAGGGGUUCUCCCCUGUGCAUUCCGCCCGGUACAGGCCAGCAUCGGUUCUUACCGGGGGAUAAGAACGGCAGGAACGUGGCUCCCUCUCGGGGGAGUGUUAUAGCCUGCCGUACGAUACCCUGGCGGGGACCGAGGUUCGCGCUUCCGCAAGGAUGCUGGCGUAAUGGUUACUAGUGACCCGUCUUGAAACACGGACCAAGGAGUCGUCCAUUAGAGCGAGCGUUUGGGUGUAAAACCCGCACGCGUAAUGAAAGUGAAAUUAGGUGAGAGCUUCGGCGCAUCAUCGACCGAUCCUGAUGUUCUCGGAUGGAUUUGAGUAAGAGUUUUAACGGACGGACCCGAAAGACAGUGAACUAUGCUUGUAUAGGGUGAAGCCAGAGGAAACUCUGGUGGAGGCUCGCAGCGGUUCUGACGUGCAAAUCGAUCGUCAAAUAUGAGCAUGGGGGCGAAAGACUAAUCGAACUGUCUAGUAGCUGGUUACCGCCGA
rnacentral:rRNA from 1 species